UAGAACCACCUUGAAGUAUACCCAUCCCCUAAAGAGGGGAUGGGUAUACUUACGUCCCCCUGCUUUGCUGCCUAAAUGUUGGAGUUUUCCUCAGUGGACACUACUUAUGAAGGGAGUCAUAAAGCUGCUGGACAACAGCACUUCAUUAAACAGUGACGGACAGAAAUAUGGUCUCCACUUCAUCAGACAUCACCUAGACAGAGCUGGAUGAGACCAGCACAAACAGCAGCCUAACCGACGAAGAUGAUGGAUCCAUGGGGUCAGGAAAGCCAGAAGCAGAGGAGCUGGAAAGGUACCUUUCAUGUCCAUUCACUGGAGGUGUGGAUCUAUUGCAUGGCUUUCCUCACAUCAGGAAGCUUUCGCUCAAAGACAGCUCUUCCUGCAUCUGCAGCCUGUGAGAGACUUUCUAGUCAUGCAGGACUCCUGUUCACUGCCAAACGGUCACAGCUUCACAGCAAGAACCUUGAGAGCCAACGGCUGCUGAAGCUGAACCACCAUUUCACUGACUGAAGAAACAAUUUAUGGUAAAGUGAGCCAUACACAUAUGUACAUCCACAUAGUGGAAAUUUGUAUUUGUCUUUUAUAAUUAGUUUUACUGUGAUUUCAGUGUUUGUGAGUGUAGUUUUUACAUUUUUACAUAUUACAUUGUGUUAAUCCACUGUCUAUACUUCAGGGUAUUUUAGUAUAGAAAGAACAUUUGAAAGUUUUGUUAGAAUGUCUAUUCCUGUUGAAUUUUAGCACAGAUGUGGUGUGUGUGUGUGUGUGUUGUUUUUUGUUUUUUUCAAUUCCUGCUGUCCGCCUUGGGAAUAAACUUUUCCUGAUUAUACCUGUUGCAUCUCUGUGUCAUUUGUUUCUGAUUUACUUAAUCCCUCCUUCUAUUUAAAAGAACCACCCCUAGUAUGACAUUCUGGCGCAUCAGCUGUAGUUAUGUUGAAGUUGCCUCGUUCUAAUGUUUUCUCUGAGGCUGCUGUAAAUGCGAACAUAUUUACUGUGGGUUUUGCUUGAAAAAGCUUUACGUUGUGAAAAACUGAAAUCUUGGAAUUAGAAUUGUUGUGCCUUAUUUUGUGGAUCUUUUUACACAUAUUCCUUUUGAAAAUACUAAAAUUUGUAUAUUUAUUUUUGUUUGUCUGAUAACAUUUAUC
ensembl:lncRNA